rnacentral:rRNA from 1 species
AGUGAACGCUGGCGGUAGGCCUAGCACAUGCAAGUCGAACGGCAGCACAGUAAGAGCUUGCUCUUACGGGUGGCGGGUGGCGGACGGGUGAGGAAUACAUCGGAAUCUACUUUUUCGUGGGGGAUAACGUAGGGAAACUUACGCUAAUACCGCAUACGACCUACGGGUGAAAGCAGGGGAUCUUCGGACCUUGCGCGAUUGAAUGAGCCGAUGUCGGAUUAGCUAGUUGGCGGGGUAAAGGCCCACCAAGGCGACGAUCCGUAGCUGGUCUGAGAGGAUGAUCAGCCACACUGGAACUGAGACACGGUCCAGACUCCUACGGGAGGCAGCAGUGGGGAAUAUUGGACAAUGGGCGCAAGCCUGAUCCAGCCAUACCGCGUGGGUGAAGAAGGCCUUCGGGUUGUAAAGCCCUUUUGUUGGGAAAGAAAAGCAGCAGGUUAAUACCCCGCUGUUCUGACGGUACCCAAAGAAUAAGCACCGGCUAACUUCGUG